CAGUUUCCCUAAAAUUCCCUCCUAAGUCAGAAAGAAGAAGCAUAAGUCAAGAGGAAGAGGACGAAGAUUUGUUUACCAAAGUCUUGUUUGACAUGAAACAAAGUGACUCUUCAUGUGCCUAUGUUGUGACGUAAUUGCGCUAUUUGUUAUGACUAGAUGAAGGCUUUUUUUCUUUUGAAGAUGGGCCAUUGUAUCAUUCUCUGCAUUUCUUCUUGGUCUUCAUGCAUCAGUAAUGAUGGAGAAUAAAUCAUAUGUAUUGCUGAACAAUGCUGUGUUGGUGAUGUAAAUAACAAUGGGUAAAACAAAAACAAACAAGCAGUUCGUGGAAUUUCCAGCACACUUGUGAAGCAAGCAAGAUCUGUUGUAAAAAUUUAGCUGUUUGGGAAAUGUUUUGUCUCCUUUGUUUACAGUAGGUAAAUGCAUUUUUCUCUCCAAAUUUUUGUUCAAGAACUUAUUUUUUUGUGAUGUAAAACAUCUGUGAAUCAGGGUUUGAUUUUAUAUGAGAACAUAGAAGAUUUGGUUUUUAAUAAUUAUCUAAAGUUAAUGGACAAAAGUAUUAGAACAAAAAGACAUUUGGCCAUACACAGUAUUCACCCAAAUCACACUGCUAAAAAUAUUUCAACACUAGAUUUACUGAAAGUAAAAUACAUCUGUGAACCUUUUUGUGCAUAUGGUGAAGGGACCACUUGACUAGGUGGAAAUUUGGAACACAAAAAUGAAUAACUGUGGCUCAAAAACUUUAUGCCCAAAUGUAAAAUGUUCAUAGUGUUACCUCAAUAUUGUUCAUAAGCGAACAAACCUUUGGUCUUAACAGUAGGAUAAUUUCUAGCGCCUAGCUGGAUCUGGUUAAAAAACAGAUGAAAGCAUGGAAUCUUGUGAUAUCUGGCAAUGCAUGCGUAGAUUAGGUGAAGGAUGGUCGAAGACAAUCACCUAUGAUCGCGCAUUAAUCUUUCUUUUGACCGCCUGGGCGAGAGUUGUGUUAACCUUUCUUGGCCUUUUUCCGGUUCAUUGCCCGUUUCACUUCUGUUUAGUGUGUGUGUGUGUUUGGCUGGUAUUAUAGCUUUUUCUGCUCCUCGGCAUCAGCGUAUGUGCCCCCGGAGUUCCAGGUUUUCCGUGUUCUUGUUUUCUGGCAUCGGCAGCGACCGACCUCAUAUCACGUGCAGUAGGUAUUGUUCUAAUUUUUGUACUAUUACGAAUCCUUAUAUGGAAUGCCGGGCAUGGCCUAAAGAGCAGUGGAGGAUGUUUUAUGGCAAGAGAGAACAUCGGAGGGUUUCGACUCUUCCUAUUUGGGAAGGUUAGGCGCCUCUAACCAAUGUUUCGUCUCCUGCAGUAGUCAACCCUCAUAGUAGCGUUGUCCCUGCAUCUCCUUCCUUUUCUUCCUUUUCCUCCAUUGAUUCAUCGAUCGAAGUAUCGGGAGGCCACCAGGCUAAUGUUUGUAAUGUAGCCCCUUCCUCCUCAGGAGUUUAUUUGAUUCCCGAGAGGGGUGAGGCUUUUUCAUCAAUCUCUUCUCUUCCAGAGUUGGAGCCGUCCAAAAUGACGGCGAUUUGGAAGACGCUCGGGGUAGGGGGUCCCCCGUCCUUGGUGGGGUUGCCAGUGCAUUUUGUGGAGGCUCGCACCCCCCCUCCAUGGUCUGGCCAGGCUAUCCCCCCUCCUCCUGGCCUCGUCUUCGUGGGUAGCAGCAGUCGGCCAUCUUGUAUGGCUCCACCAGUGUCUGCUGCCGCUUCGAGCCGGAGUGACGCUGUGACGUCAGCCCCGUUGACAACGUCACGGGAUUCGUCUUUGUGUAUUCCUCCGCCAGUGGUGUCUCUUUCCCCCUCGCACCAAGGGGAAGCCGUCCACUUGUGACGUCACUCCCAUCGAUGACGUCUCUCCCAGUCGUCUCCUCUGAUCUGCAGUGAAGUUAUCACUGCCGCCCAGUUCGCUACGUCUCCCUUGCUUGUCAUUGGAGCCUUCUCUGGCACAUCAGUCCGAGGUCAUAUGCCAGGCAGUGCUUCAGAGGUUGGACUCUGUAUUGAAUGUGAAGUUGGCUGUCUUAUCGGUUGGGAGGACUGGUAGGAAACGUGUUGCUUUGUCCCCGCCUCCUGAGAAGAGUGCGCAUAAGAAACCAGUGCAGUCUUCUUCUCCCUCUUCCCCUUCUAUUCCCCGUCGGCAUAUCAAGCGUUGGAAGGCUAAGAACUUUGCCCUUCCUUCGCCUUCAAGGGAGGAACAAUGCAGACGUGUUCCCGAGUGUGCUGUUGUUUCGGGCAGUGUUAGUGGUGUGCGAUCUGCAGGAGAUGCUUCGUCCUCUGCUUCGAAUCUCGGGCGUGUUAGCCCCCCAACCCCCCAUCCAUGCACAUCGCGAGCGUGUUGCAACCUCCCCUGCCCGUGCUCGUGAUGUUAGUGCUCCUUCUUCUCCAAGGCCUGUUCGUCGCCGUAAGGAUUUCAAGGUGCCUGUCAAGAGGUUGAAGGUAGUGAGUGGGGAGUUAGUGCAGCAGUAGUGUUUGCCUGCCUCUCUCACUGGUCCUUCCAAGAGUUCGACUCUAAGGGAUUCUCCUUCGAUCUCGAGUGUUCGAGCCUUGGUGGGAGCUACUCAGGACCCCAAAUCCUCUCUUCAGCUUCCUCUGUCAGGGCACGUUCAGUCGGUCUUGCAGAAGGUUAAUGCCUCUGUUUUGGACCGGGACGGUUCGCUUCUCUCUAGGGGCUCCACCAAACUACUACCCCCGCCUCUCACAAGACAUAGGAAGUACUAUGAGUUUGACUCUAAGGGAUUCUCCUUCGAUCUCGAGUGUUCGAGCCUUGGUGGGAGCUACUCAGGACCCCAAAUCAUCUCUUCAGCUUCCUCUGUCAGGGCACGUUCAGUCGGUCUUGCAGAAGGUUAAUGCCUCUGUUUUGGACCGGGACGGUUCGCUUCUCUCUAGGGGCUCCACUAAACUACUACCCCCGCCUCUCACAAGACAUAGGAAGUACUAUGCUACGAGCUCUGCAUUUUUGUUGUUACGCCAUCUUUACCCAGAUGUUAUUCGCCUGAAGCCGGGAUUGACUUUGGAACAGGUGAGGUCAGUGGCUCCAUCCUUGUCUCCGCAAGAUGCUUAAGCACUGGAAUCUACGGCGGCCUCCAUGUUGCAGACGUUUUCUUGGCUGGACCUCUGGUCUGUGGUUAUUGCCAAGAUAGCUUCCGACAGGUUCCCAGAAGGGUUGGUGAGUGCUUCCUCGCUUGCCAGUCUGUUGCAGUCUGGGGACAAGGCGUUUUCAUAUUUGGCUCGCCUCGGUGCUAAUUUAUGGGCUAAUCUUCUUCUGAUUAGAAGGGACACGGCUUCGUCUAGGAUGGAGAGAUCAUUUGACACUGAGUCCUUGCUGGCAUUGAGGAACGGAGAUCUGUUGGAGUCCCAGUUUUUGUUUCCUCGGACAAAACUCAAGAAUGUGAUAGACUGGCGCCGGGCUGACACCAAAGACAGACUGGUGCACCAGGCCGUGUCUAAGUCGGAGUCUUGUCCUUGGAGUCGUCCGGCUCCUCCUCUUCCCCCGGUCCAGCAGCAGUCAAGGAGAUCGUUGCCUGAUAGGCCGUCAAGAGGACCUCGAGUUCGGCAGGGCCUUCCCGUUCGACACAGCCUAAGUCAGAAGAUCAUCGCCCCUUUCGGUCUCGUUCCUUUAACCCGAGAAGGGGCCCAAGGGGCAGAGGUAAAGGGGGCCAUCGGUAGGUUAGGCGUCUCUCCCUCUUCCUCAGAGAUGAGAAAUGUUUGUCCAUCUCUACCAUUAGAGGCUACAGGGCGGCCCUGAGUUUGGUGUUACGCCUUAAGGGUAUCGACAUCUCCUCUUCCUGGGAACUUUCCCUGCUAGUUAAGGGGUUUGAGCAGUCGAGUUCUGAAGAACUCAAGCCUCCGACGUGGGAUGUUUCCUUGGUUCUUAAGAGCUUCACUAAGAGUCCAUAUGAGCCCUUGCGUCACUCAUCUGACAGGAACCUGACGCUCAAGACAGUUUUCCUUCUGGCUUUGGCAUCUUCUAAGAGGGUAGGAGAGCUCCACGGUCUGAGCUAUGAGGUGAAGCACACCAGUGGUUGGGGGUCGAUGUCCUUCGAAUUUGUCCCGGAAUUCGUGGCCAAGACCCAAAAUCCCUCUGUGCAUGAUGAAAGGUUCACUUCGUUUUCCAUUCCAUCGCUGACUGACUUUGUGGGCGGUGAUGCUCAAGAGCUUUUGUUGUGCCCUGUCCGGGCCUUGCGUUGCUAUCUUAAAAGGACUCGGCACCUUAGACCAGGCUGCCACAGACUUUAUGUUAGCACAGGCCGUACAAAGAAAGAGGUGUCUAAGAAUACUAUCUCUUUUUGGAUACGGGAAGCCAUCAGACAGGCAUACUUAUCUCUUGAUGACUCUACCACCACGUCUGUGCAAGUUAGAGCGUGUGACCUUAGAGGUAUUGGUUCCUCUAUGGCUUUCAAAAAGAACUUGGCUGUACUUAGUCCUGAGCGCUGGUGCUUGGUUGCGCCAGUCCAGGUUCAUCUCCUAUCUGAAGGAUGUUGCCCACAGAUCUCAGGACACGUUUUCCCUGGGUCCUGUGGUGGCUGCCCAACAGGUUGUGUAAUUCAUGGUUGCCCAUAACAGGGCACCUUUGUAUCUUACCUAAGAUGAUUGUGUGGAUGAGAGAAUGAGUGAGUUGGCUGGUCUUCUUUCUCUUGUACCUUUCCUUCUUCCUUUGGGCGGUUUAAGGAAUAGACACAUCAUUCGCUGGACUGGUUUGAUACAGGUGAGUAAGGUAGUCAUACUGAUAGUGUGGUCGUGCAAUAUACAAAUAUCUUACCCGUUAUUUCGUAGCAUAUGCUCCACUCCUUGGCAAGAAGGGGUUGGGAGUAAUACAAACCCUAGUGUCUUGGUUUGUUAUUGGACAGUCAAAGUUUCUCUUUGGUUCCCUAUACAAUGGUUAUCCCAUAUAUCACUGUACGUCACUCAGGUUCCGAGUCAUUAGAUAUCAAUUUAUCUAGCUUCUCAACGGGCUUCAGUCUCUCUCCAAAAACCAUUCCUUUUGAGAGCUGGACUGGUGGGUAGGCCCCCAGCUGGUCUAGGGUGUCUUAUACCUCCCUCCAAGUAUGAGUCUAUCCUAUUGUUAAGACCGAAGGUUUGUUCGCGUAUGAACAAAUGAAAAAUUUUCUAAGACAAUUUGUAAUUUUCAUAGCUACAAACCUGAGGUCUUAACAUUAUACUGCCCGCCUCUAGCCGCCCCUCUGUGUCUUACAACAUCCUGAGUUGGGAAAGACUGAAGCACAAUCAUAGGUGAAUGGUCUUCAACCAUUCUUCACCCGAUCUAUGCAUGCAUUGCCAGAUAUCACAAGAUUCCUUGCUUUCAUCUGUUUUUUAACUGGAUCCAGCUGGGCGCUAGAAAUUAUCCUAUUGUUAAGACGUCAGGUUUUUAGCUAUGAAAAAUACAAAUUGUCUUAGAAAAUUUGUCAUUUCAACCUCAACUGGUACAUAAAUACCUCAAUAUUCAACCUCAACUUGUACAUAAAAGAUGUCUUAGUGCUGACUGGAUCCAGCUGGGCGCUAGAAAUUAUCCUAUUGUUAAGACCUCAGGUUUUUAGCUAUGAAAAAUACAAAUUGUCUUAGAAAAUUUGUCAUUUCAACCUCAACUGGUACAUAAAUACCUCAAUAUUCAACCUCAACUGGUACAUAAAAGAUGUCUUAGUGCUGACUUGUUCAAGUACUGAACUGCUUUUUUGUCAGGAAUAAUGUAAAUUGUAUUACUAUCUGUUCCAGACCCCCAAAAAUACAAGAUACAAACAUUUUAACAAGGAUAAUUUAACUUGAAGUAUUAAUGCUUAUGCAGAAAUAAUAUAAAAAUUUAAAUGCAACAUAGAAUAGGUAAAAUAAUUUGCUCAUACUUAGGAGAGUCCUUGAAAUAUGGGGAGAAGGUGAAGAAGAGAUGAUGUUUGGAAGAACUAGAGACGUUCUUCCUUCCCCCCUCCUCUAAAGACAUUUCUUGAGCGGCCAUCUUUUGCUGCUCCAUCUGAAGGUCCUGUAAUUCUUCCAUGGUAAGCUCUACUUGGUGCUCCUCGACAUCAUGAUCACCACCCGCCAUGCCCACGGACUUGCCCAGAGACAUUAUCUUCCACAGCAGGCUCAACCUCAAAGCAUUCAAAGUCCCUUUUUGCUACAGUACCUGACCAAUAUUUUUGCUGGGCAGAAUUCAUGUCCCUGUAAAAGACUUACCCCUGAGGCUUUGUCUAUGAGGAUUAUUAUACAUUGGAGGAUGCUGAAGUGAUUAUUUUCAGAGGGUCAAUUUUGUAUCAGCAGUCACUUCAAAGCAAUUCUAGAAUGAGGGUUUGGAGUGGUCUUAAUAUUAGAUAAGACCUACUGGUCCUUGGGGUGGCUGAGAGAAGCUGUGUUAGGGGACAAGAACUUCACAGUUAUGGAAUUAAACUCAGCCUACAAGCCAGGGGGGAUGAGCAUGAGCAUUUUCCAACAUACUGGCUUCAGAGACAAUUGUAAUUAUCUCCUUAAGGUAUUUCUUGACACUAAAACAAACCAUUUCAAUAACCCCUUCUAUUAAAAAAAAUUGGCAAGUUACCCAGGCAGUAUUAUUAGCCUUUCACACAAUUAACUUUUCAUGACUAUUUUUCUUGAAAAUCCUCAGGUUCUUGAGUGGUAAAGAAGCAGACUAGAGACUUAAAUC